GGGGAUGUAGCUCAGCGGGAGAGCAAUAGACUGAAGAUCUAUGUGUCCGGGGUUCGACUCCCCGCAUCCCCA
rnacentral:tRNA from 1 species